rnacentral:rRNA from 1 species
GACGGAGGAUGCAAGCGUUAUCCGGAAUGAUUGGGCGUAAAGCGUCCGCAGGUGGCAGUUCAAGUCUGCUGUCAAAGACCGGGGCUUAACUUCGGAAAGGCAGUGGAAACUGAACAGCUAGAGUAUGGUAGGGGCAGAGGGAAUUCCUGGUGUAGCGGUGAAAUGCGUAGAUAUGCGGAGGAACACCGAUGGCGAAGGCAAUCCCCUGGGCCUGCACUGACGCUCAUGCACGAAACCGUGGGGAGCAAACAGG